ensembl:lncRNA
GCCGGAUCCCAGGAUCUCUGGCCGUUGGACCCUGGGGGUCCACAGGUUUGGGUGUCAGCCUCCGGUGGCUGGGGCCAGGCCCAGGUCUCCCUGGGGCCGAUGCUUGCUCCCCAGGGAGGGAGGUCGGUCCCCGGGCUAUGCUGGCUCUCGGGUGUCUGGGCGAGGACCUGAGUCCUCUGGUGGAUGGGGUCACGGCCCGGGUUGCUGGGAUCUCAGGACAGACAGCAGGCCCAUUGGUGGGAGGAGCUGCGUCUCUGUCCGGCUAGCUGGAUGGCUCGAGUCAUCUCAGUUCCAGCGUUGACGGGACAGCUGGCAGGACCAGUCCUUGCCCCAAGAGGCGAGAAGGAGAAUUCCAGCAUGGGCUUGCCAGCUCUGACAUCCUCGUCCUAGAACGAGCUCCACAGAGCCUGCCGUGGCAGGCUCUGCGGCCCCAGGGUGCCCUCCGACCGCCUCCCACGUCUCCCAGAGGCGCUCUGGGAUCAGCAGGUUCAGAAGGUGAUUGGAACCACCAAGUGGACCUUUUGGAAGCCUAGGUCCAGGAAGUGAGUGGAUGGACGCGGGGUAUGCUGCAGCAAUGCAGAGAUGGACUAAAGUCAGACCCCCGCUGAGGCAUAACACAGUAACCAUAACUCUUCUGUCAACAAGAGAGAGGAGACUGCAGACAGCUGUGGGCAACAGGGGAAAUCCCCUGGGGGAAGGCCUUGCCUGUGGCCAGAAGUGGAUUACACUGGACCAGUGCCAGGACCUCCAGGGGUAUAAACGGGUGAUAACAGAUGCUUACUCAGUUGUAGACACAAAUACUCAGUUCAGUUCAGUCACUCAGUCAUGUCUGACUCUGCGACUGCAUGGACUGCAGCACGCCAGGCUUUCCUGUCCAUCACCAACUCCCAGAGCUUACUCAAACUCAUGUCCAUUGAGUCGGUCCAACCAUCUCAUCCUUUGUUGCCACCUUCUCCUGCCUUCAGUCUUUCCCAGCAUCAGGGUCUUUCCCAGUGAGUCAGCUCUUUGCAUCGGGCGGCCAAAGUAUUGGAGUUUCAGCUUCAGCAUCAGUCCUUCCAAUGAAUAUUCAGGACUGAUUUCCUUUAGGAUGGACUGGCUGGAUCUCCUUGCAGUCCAAGGGACUCAUACUGUUAAAGGACUGGAACAGAAGAUGCUAAAGAUUCUGGCUGCCGAAUUACAUUUCUUCAGACAAAGGGAUGUCCUUUCCAGCCCACAAUAUCCAACGGUGUCCAUUAUCAAAUGGGAAAAUCGCAUUGCAUAUCCUCAUUAGAGCAAUGGCUUCAUAGAGGAGCAGAACUGACAGUUGAAACAUUUGUUGUCUAAAACAGGGGGAAGAAUAAAAAAGCAAUAUUUUUUUUUUUUAAGAAUAAAACAGGGGGAAGAGAAAGGCAUAAAGGGCUGGUUUAGAUGCC